UCUCUCUCCCCCUUUCUAUGCAACCCUAAUCGCCACCUCUCUCUAUGCCAAAAAUGGCAAAUUCGCAGAACAUAGUCGUCGCAUGCAGCUUUAUUAUGUCUAUUAUGAUGAAAGCAUUUAAUGUUGCACUCGAAAUUAUGAUUUUAAAUCCAAACAUGGUAAUGAAUCGAAUUUGUUGCUUUAUUUUACUUUAUUAUGCUGAGAUUUACACGUAUUGUUAUUGUACCUUGCUUAAAUUCCAUUGGUUGGAUUUGAAAAGGUUGGAUCGAACCGAGUAAGGUUCAGAUCUGACCGUUCAUAUGCUUAAGAGGCCAUGAAAGGCUUAGAUCUGGUCUUAAAGUUCAUUUUUAUGGGAAUGUGUUUGUUCCACAUCGAUGGUUUUGGGGGUUAGAUGAUUUUUGGGGUUCUAUCUGGUCUUAAAGUUCAUUUUUCUGGGAAUACGUUUGUUCCACAUCGAUAGUUUUGGGGGUUAGAUGAUUUUUGGGGUUCUAUAUAACCCUAACCCCCCUUUACAGAACAAGUUGGAAAAAGUGAAAAAGGAGGCUUUUUUGAAAGAAAGUCUGAGUCUCUAAGUCAAAAAAAUUUAAAAGAGUUUUUUCAGAAUUUAGAAAAAUUGGAGAAGUUCAAAGAAAAUUGGAGAAGUUCAAAGAAAGGCUAAAACUUCGAAUUUUUUAAGCCUCUAUUAGUAAAAUUUUAAGACUUCAUUAAGUGUGAGGUCUCUCUGAGUUGAAAUCUUUUAUUUGUUCUCUUUUGUUCGAGUCUGUGUGGCUGAGUUGUGGCUUUUGGAAGCACUUAAGGCUUUCAAAUUCAUUUUUUAUCAGGGCUGCACCAUAAAAAGGUAAUGUUCUAUCCUAUUUACUUAUUUUGGUAUUGUUUAGUAUUAGUCUAAAUGAUAAUAACUUAUUAAUGUUGGUUAGUUGUUGUUUUGCAUGCGGUUCAGUUGAGUUUAUGUAUUGAUUAAGAUGUAUUAGUUUCUUAGAUGUGAAGGUUGCCUCUCUUUAUUUUCAAAGCCAUGUUUGAGAUUAAUAAGUAAUUUCUUGAAGUAGACAGAGUGUGUAUGCCCAAAUAAUGCAUUGUUUGUUUAAAUAUGAUGGAAUAGAUUUCAUGUAUUCUGUUAGAUGUUGAAGGUUCCUACCUUUGUUGUUCAAUGCUUAAAUCUGACAAGGACAUGAUCACAUAAGUCAUGAUAGUAAUUUGAUGAACUUUUAAGUUAAUACUAAUCCUGUUGAAUGUAGUAGAACAUUUAAGUGAUGUGAUAUUUGUUUGAAGAAUUUGAAGUGAUUGUCUUUUUUUUUUUCUUUUUUUUUUUUGGUGAAUAAGAACGUGGCUUGUGUUUUCUUCCUAAAUUGUUAUUUUGUGGGCCUGCAUACUUGCUUGAUGUCAACUAAGGGACAUGAGCUGUGAUUGGGAUAAAACAUAGUAAGGGUCAUGAUUAGGUUAAAACAGAGUUUAAGGGACCUAAGUAUACCUGUAAGAAAUGCUACACCUCGGAAAUUUUUUCGUUCAUGCACAGUGAAUAGACUGACGAAGGGAACGACGUAUACGACGUUUUGAUAAGCAAGAAAUAACAUUUGAUGAUUCUAAAUGAGAUUUCGAAGAUAUUCGAGGUUAUAGAAGAAAGUUUGCCAAGAAAGGCAAGGCAUACGCGGUGUACCGGAAAUGAUUCACAAGGUACCAAGUUAAUGAUGACUUGAUGAUGUCUUAAAGAAAAGUUAUAACGUCCCUUAGAUUGAUAAUGAAGUGUUAAACAAGUGUUAAGAGGGUUCCAUAAGGAUUGGAGCUCAAACGAGUCGACGAGAACAAGCUUCGGAAAACUGGGCAUUAUACGGCCAAACAUACUGGCCGUAUAAAACAUACGGGCAGUAUGUUCCACCGUAUAAUCAUCCCAGAUUAUCAUCCCUCUCUGGACCAAAUCUACGGCCAUACAUACGGUCAGUAUAAUUUAUACGGACCGUAUGUUGGUCCGUAGAAACUGGUGGGGUCAGAUUUUGUGUAUUAAUAAGGGAUCCAAAUCUUAUUUCAUUUCAUUUCCCUUCACUCCCCUUCUCUCUAAAACAUCUCUCUACACUUCUCCCACAAGAAUUCAAGGGUUAUUCAUGAUCAAUCUCAUCAAACCAAGGAAAUCAAGUGUAAGAAACUCAUUGGAGUUUCAUCCAAGGCAAGGAAUCCAACUGAAGGUAAAACUAGGGUUUUGCUCAAGUGAGGAAUUUCCACCCAAGGUUCAUUCCUACACCAUCUAAGGUAAGAUUUAUGGUAUUUCCAUGUUGUUUAAGGUAUUUGAAAGUUGAAACACUUGGAUUGUAGAAGAAUAUAGAAAAAUGGGUCAUGAAUGUGGGAAUAGUGUCAUUUUGAGUAAUAGCUUGAAUUGAGUCAUGAUUCUUGAUGUGUUGUGAUAUGAUUUUGUUAUAAAUGAUAUCAAGGACAUGGGAUAAGCAUUAUAUGUGAGAAAACGUACUAGUAUACUAUGACCAUGAUUAUGGAUGAAUUGAAGUGGAAUUGUGAAAUAAGGGUAAUGUAGAUGAAUGAAGAUAGUUGGUUAUGAUAUUGUGAACGUUAUUAUAAAUGUUUGGGAGUUGAUAUACCAUAUGGGGAAGGUUGUAUAAACAAAGGAAAUGCUGCCCAAUUUUCUCUAGCUUUAGUAAGCACAUUCAUAUAAUCGAUUAGCUAAUGUUAAUGCGAAUUCUCUUGAAGGUAGAAACGUGAGCAUUAAAGGAGAACAAUCAAGCGAUGGAAAUUGUUAAACGAAAGAGGUAUGUAAGGCUAGUCCUUUCUUUCUAAGGAAUGAUUCUUAUGGAAUGAAUUCUCCUAUAUUUCCAUGACUUUCCUAUAUAUCGGAAAUUAUGAGUCUACGAAUAUAAAGAGCUUCAUACAAGAUAAAGAAAAGAGAUACUUUACGAGCAUGACAAUACCGAGGGUGAAUCUAAGUCUAGAAGUCCUAAAGCUCAUGAUACGAUAUUCCUACGAAGCUAAUGACCCUUACAUGAUUCCUAUGAUAUUAUUUUCCUACCUCUCCAUGACUUUCUUACAUUCCGGGAAUUAUGAGAUAAUAUUGAUAAAGAGCUUCUUAUGAGAUAAAGAUGAGAAAUAUGUCAUGAAUACAAAAAAAUGAUGGUAAGUUUAAGCCUAGAGAUUUUAAAGCAAGAUAUGAUGCCUAUGAAGUAAAGAUCCUACUUACGAUCCCUUGAUGUUAUUCAUGGUGUACACUCAGCUUAAAAUGUUAGUUCCUUCAAGGUGAGAUAUGAUGAAUAUGAUUGCUCCAUAAUGUAGUCGGGGGUUCUCGACCUUUUGUCACCCCGACAUUGUUAUAGAUUGUCUAUAAGCUCUAAUGCAUGUCCUAUGACCAAUGUUUCGAAAAUUUACGAGUCUACGUUCAUAGAGGAUUUCAUAUGAGAUAAAGGUAAGAGAUACACCAUAGAUACGAAAAUGGUAAUGAUGAGCCUAAGUUUAGAAAUUAUAAAGUCGAUCAUACGAUAUUUUUUACAAAGUUCAUGCUACGAAUAUGAUAUGAUUUUCAUAGAUUGUCUUUAAAUUCAAGUGCAUGCUCUAUGCUACGUUAUGAUAAGGUUAUGAUAUGCCUAUGAUAAGUAUGAUGAUGAUGUUAAUAGUGAUAACGAUAAUGAUGACGAUGUUGAUAGCGAUGAUUAUAAUGAUGACGAUGAUAAUAGUGAUGACGUUAAAGAUAUUUAUGGGCUUUUAUGUAUGUGUGCCUAUGUAUGGCUAUUAUGAAACCUCGAGCUUAUGUGGCCGGGUAGAAUGUAUAUGUAUAUAUGAUGAUGUGUGUGCACCACUGCAGUUGGGUACGGAUAACACUGAGCCUUGAUAGGGCCAGGCACGGAUAACACUGAGCCUUGGCAGGGCCCAGCACGGAUAACACUGAGCCUUGGUAGGGCCAGGCACGGAUAACACUGAUCCUUGGUAGGGCCAGGCACGUAUAACACCAGGCAUUAUUAUAGCCGGGUAUGUAAUACACCGAACCUAUAUAGCCGGGCACGAUACUACUAUGUAUUCUAAUGUAUGAAAAGCCCGGAAGAUAUGUGUGUGAUAUUGUCGAGCCACUACGUGGCCGAAUACGGAUAAUGUUUAAUGUGUAUGAGCAGAUAUGAUAUUAUGAUAUAUGUAUGAUACGAUGAUGUAUGCGCUACGAUGAUACAUGUACUAUGAUUAUAUAAUAUACGAUAUAGGCAUGAAAGGUAUCCUCCUUUAAACGUUACGCAGGUUAUAUCUUCAUCUUAUGUCUCAUGACUUUUCUAUUAUGUUCAUUUCAUUCAUGCCUUACAUACUCAGUACAAUGUUCGUACUGACGUCCGUUUUCUUUGGACGCUGUGUUCAUGCCCACAGGUAGACAGGGAGGCGACCCAGAUUUACAGAAGCCGAUAAUGUUACACCUCGGAAAUUUCUCCGUACUUGUAUGGUAACGACGUGAUAUCGAUGGAGAACAAGUGAGCGAUAUCUUAGCUAAACGACCAAGGUAGACAGGGAGGAGAGCUUGGCCCAGGUCCUCAGUAGCUGUCAGCUGAUAGAUAGCACUCCAUUGUUCGGAGGUGCUUAUGACUAUUCUUUUGAUGUACAUUCAUAUAUGCAUAUAUUGGGCAUGACGGAGUCUUGUUCCGUCCAUGUAUUCAUUAUGUUAGUAGAGGCUCGUAGAUACGCAGUGUGGGUUAGAUGGCCUCACAAGAUGUUUUCAUAUGUAUGUGUAUUAUUUUGAUG